CGGAAACAUAAAUUAAAUUUAAAAAAAAAUUAAAUUAAAAUGUCUCAUUUUGGUAUCUACAAGCAAAACUAUAUUAAAUAAUUAAGAUAUACUUAACAGACGUAAAUUUAGAAGUGUUCAAACAUCAGACGAAUUCAAAAUCCAAACACACGAUCUUGCAUCUGGGCAAUAUCGAUAUGGGCAAUAUAAAUAUAAUAAUCAAGAUGCAAUUAAGAUCCUAACUGUAAGUAUAAAUUGAAUUCGUCACUUCGACAACGAAUGAUGAAAUUUUUGGUGAUAUUUUCGUAUGGAUAUAAGCGAUUCGUGGGUAUGGCAAUAUGGGUAAGAAUUUAUAGACAGAAAUAUGUACGUCAAAACAUACGAAAAUGGUGAUAUAUAAAAAUAAUGUUCAAAUGGUGAUAUCAAAUUGGCGUUACAAAGAAGGAAGCAGAAAUUCAUGGAAUCUACCCCCAGGUGGUAUGUAUAAAAGGUUUCUAUAUAUUAUUGGAUUUUUCGAAUGUGAACCAUUUACGUAGAGAGCAAUGUUGGCAGAAUAUCGAAAGAUAAGUAUAAUUAUAGGGCAGGUGUAUACAACAGCAGUUAAUGUGUAAAAUAUGAUGAAAUUCGGAAUAAGUCUAUGUAUGACUUUAUAUUGGAUGAAAUAAACAUAAAACUGAUUUUCUUCACAGCAUCAACAGCACACAUGUGUACCUCUAAUGCUGUAUUGUGAGAGAAAUUUUUUAAGUUAAAUUGAGCUUGAGUUAAGGUUGCACAUAUACACUAUAAUCAUUGUAUCUUUUAGAUUCAAACCGGUGUAAGGGAAUACUGCAAAUAAUUAAUUUUGUACGAAAUAUGGUGCACCAAAAGGGGAAAAAAGAUUUUUUAUGAUGCAGAUCGAGAAAUGAUUUUCUAAUCCAUAGAAAACGAUUAAAGUGUGGAGAACCAUGUCAUUUGCAACACUUGGAUUUAGAUAGGUUUCAACAUUUAUGAUCGGAACUAAAAUGACGAUGAACUCCUAAUAUCUAGCAGAGAUAAGUGAUCUGCUCGGACUAUACAAUGAAGACAAGGUAGACUAAGUUAUGGCAAGUUGUAAGUAAAGAGGAUUGCCUGUAUGCACCGUUACGUCAGAAUUACUGUCAAAACAAAUGCAACAAGUGACUUUGUAUAAAAUAAACAAAAUAACUUAUUGCAUUUACUUUGAAUAAAUAAAGAAUAACGGCGAAAACUCAAUGAAUACAUAUCUUAAAUGUAUUGUAAUUGAAUAAUUACAAUUAAAAAAAAUAUAUAAACGCGAUAUUACAAAUCAGGUACUGGAGUUGUAGUAGAUACUUGAAGGUUCUGCAACAAAACAAUAAUUUAUAUAGUUUUUCAGAAGCUAUCAUGAUUAUUUCCUACGUUCAUCAUUGAUGGAAAAAUUUUGGUACGUAUUUACUAAAUGAAUAAAGCAUACUUCGUUAUUUUAUCCCAUAACAUAUACUUUAUUGUCUUUUUAUUUUAUUUCCAGGAAGUUUUAAAUAUUUUCAAAGGCUACACAUUUUCUACUAAUGGCUAGUUAACACUACGUGUUAGAGUCAUAUGAACUGUCACUCUUACCAUCUUUGAAUGCUGUACGUAAAGUUCAACCCAUGGUAGAAGAACAAUGAACUAUUAAACAAUGCGUUGAUGUAUUUACUUGUAUUCUUCUACCAUGGUUCGACUCAUACAACAAAUAUGGUACAAUAAGAAGGUAGAACAGCUUCAUAAACUACAGAAAUACAGCUCUGUGGCUAUGACCGCUUCCUGUCAAAUCUUAUUUAUUAAUAUUUCUAUGUUUUCAAAAUCAUUUAAACAGCGCCAAAAAUGAAUGAAAUAUGAUCUAAAUAGUUCGAUCUUUGAAUUACAUGGCAAAACUGGGGAAUAUCUUUAAUGCGCGUUCCGCAAUGUUUCAAUCAUCAGUCAAAAAUCAAUCAUUGAUUUUGAAAAUAUUUUGUUUUUAUUUUUCAAAACAAUAAAUACAUACACAAGAUUGGCAGAAGUCGGGCACACUUAGAAAAAAAAUUGUGAUCAGCUGGUAGCUCUACCAUACCUUUUUAUUGUACCAUGCAAGAAAGUAAAUCUAUUUAAACAACAUGGCAACACUCAUGGCAACACAAACGUAUUUUUCCCUUAAAUUUUUGUAUUCUUCUUUAUACCCUACAUCAUAUAGGGGAAAGGGUAUUAUGUCUUUGUUCAUUUGUUUGUAACAUGAAGAAGGAAGCGAGAUAGACCCAUAGUUACUUUCGAGGAUUUUUAUUGAAUCACUUUCUUGGUCGAUUAUGCAUGUCAGUCAGUCCGUCUGUCCAUGUAUUUUUGUGAAUAAAAUGCAGGUAGCAUUUAUUAUCCAAUUAAGAUGAAAUUUUCCAAAUAAUAUUUGUUUGGUUCAAGAACGAAUCCAAUUGAAAUAUAAGAAUGGUAAAAAUCGGUUCAAAUUUAGAUAUAGCUUCCAUAUAAUCUUCAACCAAUUUUGCAUUAAUUGUACACCAAAUGGCCAAUAUCAGUCCAAAUGACCUGAAUUUUGCCACAUCCAACCAAAUUCAGUCGUAAAAGCAAGUACUUCAAAUUUGGUUCAGAUAUAGCUAUAGCCCUCUAUAUGUUUUUCAUCCGAUUUGGGGUUUUAAGUCCCUCACAUGCGUAAUAUGCACUUCACAACAAUUCCACAAUCUUUGACCAGAUAUCAGAUACAGCUCAAAAAUAUUUGUUAAAAUCGGUUCAGAUUUGGAUAUAGCUCCCAUUUUUAUCUUCAACCGAUUUCCGCUUAAUUGUGCACCAAAUGGGUAAUAUCAGCCAAAUCGACUGAAUUUCGGCAAGUGUUUCAUAUUUUCGUGAAAGUCGGUUGAGAUAUAGCUAUAGCUCCCAUAUAUAUGUUUCGUCCGAUUUGGUGUUAAAGUUCCACACAUGCGUAAUAUGCACUCCACAACAAUGAUAUUUGACACCGGGCAUCAGAUACUGCUCGAAAAUACCUCUGCCAAAUUUUAUUGAGAUAGGUUUAGAGUUUUACAUAGCUUCGAUAUACAUCUUCGUCCGAUUUUACGGUUAUUGCUCACCAUAUAUGUAAUUUUAGCCCAAAUUGAAUAGAUUUUUUCAUAUUUAAUUAUUUGGUUAAAUUCGGUCCGGUGUAUAUAUUGCUCCAAUAAAUAUUUUUUGAUAUAGUCCUUAUCGAAGUCAUAUCAUGCACUAUACAGCAAUGUUAUUUGGUUCAUAGUUGAUAUAAUCUACUUCACAUAAGUUUUCAGUAUAAACUUUUUUGUUUCGUCCGACUUUUGACCUUUCCUUACUGGGUUUAUUGCAUUCAUGUUAGAAUCAAGAAGGUAAAGUCAUGCAAACAUGUGAUCACAAUUUUUUUCAAAAUAUUUCAUUUGGCAACAUCUAGUUGUUAAAAUAUAUAUGUGGCAACCUUCAAUUACAAUUUACUGGUUAUAGGCCGGUUAUUACAUCUUGCCGAUAGAUAAAAAAGUUAUGUUGUCGUACACAUAAAUCGUUUUUCGUUAUUACAAGUUUCAUUUGAGUAUGAACUGUCCGAUAAGCAAAAGGUCAGACCAUCUUCCCCAUGGUAGAAGAAUAUAGGUAGACGCGUCGACACAGCUGCUGGGACAAUGAACUGUCAAUGAAUGAAAAAUUAUUUAAAUUUGUAAAAAUUGUUGAAAAACGCGAAUUAUAAUAGCCUCCGAAUGACGUAGUAUAAGAAAACAUAUAAAAAUCUACUUAUAUUUGAAAAAAACAUUUAAUUUUUUUGACAUAUCAAUGAUCCCAAGCGUUGAUGCAUCCACCUGUAUUCUUCUACCAUGAUCUUCCUUUUAUCUUUUAACAUAAAGUUUACUGAAUUCAUGUUGCCAUAUUUUUUAUUGAUAGUAUGGUAAUAACAGUAAAAUGUAUUUACAUAAAAAAUGAAUAACGCUAAUCGUUUAUUUUAUAUUGAAGAACUGAAUUAUAGAUUUAUUUCACGAAAUUAAUUACAAACUCGUUUUGUUUAUUUUUUUUUAAACUAAAAUGAAGAUGCCAUUGUGAAAAAAAAAACUCAGCUACUACCAGUUACUUUUACAAAAACCUUGCCAUAUCUCUGUAAAAAAUCAUUUAUUUUAAAUGAAAGAUAUAAUAAUGAAAACUUGAUAAUGUGAACUUUAUCGUUUACUUUACUUAAAGUAAUGUGGCGUUUCCACUGCACUUGAUUCACUCUCUAUUCGUUGUUUGACCCUUAACUAUGAAAAAACUACACAAUUCUUCACACAAAAUUUCCUGAGCGAACACUCAUAUUUGUACGUAAUCAAAUCACUCUCAGAACAACGAAAAAAUAUGUCCCAUCCCUAACAAAUGAGAGUAUUUAUCGAAAAAAUAAAUUAUGACAUUUAAAAAUUAAAAAUAGAAACAUUUUAUGAAAUUUUUAAAAAUUUUGGGAAGACUGAAAAUUAUGAAUGAAAACUACAAUGUUGAAUGGCGUAUGUACAUUCAAACGAAAGUAAAUUUCGUUCGAGAUACUCAUUUUGUCCACGAGUUAAAAUUUCCACAGAAAACGCAAACAAAAGAGGCAACAUUUUCAAAAUAUUUCUAUCGGCAGAAAAAAUGUUUGACAAGUGUCUCUCCAGCAGAAUUUAAAAAUGGUAAGACACAAAAAUGUGUUCAAAAUGUCAACAUUUACACAAAAAGUUGAAAUCGUGAAUGAAAAUUGUAAAAUUAAUGAUAUAAUAAAUCUUUGGGAGGAAAACAAUAAUUUCUUCAAUUCAUAUUAGUGAGAAUUUCAUGUAUUUUCGUAUAAAUUCCCAUUAAAAUCAACAAACAAAAUUUUUGAAAAAAGGACUUAAUUUACUAUGAAUUACGAAUCGUGCCGUAUGAACGGGUUAAUUCAUGUACCUAAUUCUGAGAGCGAACAACGUUGUUCGGUUUCCAAUGGAAACAUGCUAUAAGGGAUAACAAAAGUGGACUAUAAAGGAAAGAAGUAAUAAUGGGCCAUAGGGGCCAUUUUAUAAUCGGUAUUGUUUCCACAGAGGCUUUAUUUAUUUCACAUAGAAACAAUAACAAAAAACUUAACAUUUUAUUUGCUUAUGAUAAUACUUUAUUUUCCUUGCAAAAGGCGGUUGAACACUUAUUUUCCAACAUCAAUUAUCUCUAUUUUAGGUUUUCUCAUACAUCACGUUUGGCCAUUUUUUGCACACCUUUUUGGUUGUGUAUGUAUAUCAGCUGAGCGGUAUUCAUAUCCUCCUAAUGGUGUAUUUAAACACACAAGGUUAACCCGCUGGAUCUAAUACUCUUCAAUGGUAUAAAUGUUACCUUUCUAGGUAACAAAUUAUUCUCAAAUAUAUAUUUUUUUUAUAAUAUUAAAUAUUAAUUCUUCAAAUCGCCUUUCUUCCAUAUGAAAAAUAAUAUUUCAAAACAGAGUAUAUAUAAAAUAAAUAUUGGAUUUCUGUUUUAAUCAAUGAAAAUGAUUUCUUGUUAACUAUUUUUUUUAUUUCCAGAUAAUGUUGAAAAAUUAUACGGUUAAUAACAAGAUAUUGGUUAUUCGAGACCUCAAGAAAUUUGAACUGAUAGCUGAAAUUUACCGCGUAAUUUACACACAUACAUAUAUAAGAAAUACAAAACAUUAAACAAAGUAAGAAAGUUGGAAAAUAAUUUACUAUAAAAAUGUUCAGUCAUAUUCAGGGUACGUAUAUAUUAUUAUAGACAAUACUGCUUAAGUCAUAACCCGAAUCAAUGUGAUUUAUCAUUCAGUGUACAAUUAACAAGUUAAAGUAUGUUUACAUACAAAAUCUCUAUCUGUGUUAUUUGACUAAUAAACAUGGUUAUAACUUGUUAAUUGUAUAAUAAUAUAAUAAUUAGCUUAAAAAACAGUGCUAAAUUUGUAGAACUAAAACAUAAAAUAGGUAUAAAUUAAACAACACUUUAUUCAUAUAACACAUAUAUAUAUACAUAAAUAAUUGAAAAAUGUUUAUAUUACAAUUGUUUAUGUAUUGAUGAAUUAACACAACUCAUAUUAUUAAUUGGCUAUUAAAUUGGACUGAUA